UCCGGUUGAUGCUUGAAAAGCAAACAGAUUGAACAUGCAACAGAUUCUAGAAAAUUUGUCUAGAAUAAUCACUUACUUAUAGUAAAUACGAUACAGAGAGAUAGGGUCUCUCUAAUGUAAAUUUUUACAGUAUAACUAAGGAGAUAAACUGCUAUUUACAGGAAACACAGAGAUUGAACUCAAUUAGAUCUGAGGAUCCAAGCAGAAAAUCUGUUGGGCUAUUCUGCAGUUGUUAUGGCCUGAAAAUUAUUUCAGAAAUCCCAGUUGCACAGACGUAAAGUACAGUAAAACCUGUGGCCUGAAGAUGUACUAUAGAUACUAAUAUGCGAAUACUAGAAAGUUGGAGAGCCGAACUAAAAGUCACCAAAAUGGAUAAGGUUGCCCCAAUCUUCUUCUCGUGCGGUUCCUGAGGGGAAAAUUACCGCCGUCCCCGGCUGCCUCGAGGGCUCGCCGGGCCAGAGAGAGGAUGCUGGCGCCACCAAACCUCGUACGCGGGGACACCGCCGUUACUCGGACUUGAGUGCGGGGCCACCUCCACCGCGUGAUGCGGCUGCGGAGAGCCGGGCCGAGGGCCGCUCGGAGGAGCGGCGUGUCGUGGCUGUGGUGUCCGCCGCGCCCGGAGGACUGAUGCUUCUGCGUGCGUCGUCGACGCGGUUGUUGCUGCUGCAGUGAUGGCGAGACGACGAGCGGCAGUGGCCGCUAGUUCCAGUUCAAGAAAUUAGAAAAAGACAUGGCGUUCGUGCCUUGAGGGGCUGCGCCUCUCUCCGCCCCUGUUGUCGUGUGCCUGACGUUGGCCGCCGCCGCCGCCAACUGAAAGGGUGCCGCUGCUGGUGUCCACGCCGUCGGGCUGCCACAGCCGUGUAUCAGGCCGAUGGCCAGGGACGCUGGUGCCGUCGAGUUCUUGGCCUAAUUGCUCUCUGGAAGAGGCGUGUGCGAUAACGUGUGAAAGUACAAGUGAUUGACAGAAUGAACAUCUUAUUUUAUUGA